AUUCACACCGAGCCAGUCCACCUACUGCUAUGUUUCUGAGAGGUCAGAGGAACUCACAGCAAUAAUAAUCACAUCAUAUGGCUGAACAUUCAUGUCUACAGUAUCUGCCCUAUGUUACUCCGCCAUAAUAAAAGUUGCAGGGAGCCUGGAGCCUAUCCCAGGGGACUCGGGGCACGAGGAUACCCUGGACAGGGUGUCAUCCCAUUGCAGGGCAAUAACACAUGCACUCACACACUACAGACAAUUUAGAGAUGCCAAUCAGCCUACAACGCAUGUCUCUGGACUGGGGAGGAAACCGGAGUACCCAGAGGGAUUCAAACCUCCAACCCCAGAGGUGCGAGGUAGACGUGCUAGCCACUAGGCCACCGUGCUCCCCAGCUAGUUUAUGUUUCAUUAGUAAAGCCAUUAUCAUCAUGAACAAACUGAAAUUAAUCUUGAACUUUUCAAAAUUCCUAAGCUUAAGUGGGAGUAAAGAUUACAUUUAAAUGUGAACAGCAUUUCACUCCUAUUUGUCACACACAGCCCUGACACACGGACGAUUUCCUGCUGGUGAAGGAGCUGUAACACCAGCUCAUGUCAUGGCACCUCCACACCAGCAGAGGUCCUUCCCCUGAGUUCUGACCUGUCAUACACACUUCCUGUCUGCUAAUCAUAUCCUGUUCAUGGACUCUUUAAGAACUCAAUCAUCCACAGUCACACUGUGAGGACUUGCUGAUAUCCCUUUUGGAAGUUCUGAGCUGUUGUGUCCUGUUUGAUAUCGCAUGUGUAUUGCGCUGGCCUUGUUUACUGAUUACUCCUUGGUUUUGCUCUUUGCUCUGACUCUCUGGGUUUUGGAUUUUGCCUAAACCUUGCCUAAUGUCUCUGCAUUCAGAUAUCCAUGGCUGUGUCGUAUUUCCCCAGGUGGUUGAACCAGGAUUUGUUGAUCACAAAGAGCCCUCCAGGAAGAACGGGUGUCCUGGGGAUUUCAGGAUAUUGAAAAAUGAUUAACAACUCUGCAUCACUGCUGGAAUAAUGAUUAUUUCACAGUUGAGGUCUACGUUUAAACUGUUUCCACAAAACUGUUUCCAGAGGUCUGUUUAGAUAUUCUGAUGUAAGAUCAAUAACAUGUAUAUAGUAAUAGCUAUAAUUUCAGUUGGUUUUCUGGGUUUAAGGUAAUAUGGGACUGGAAAUGAGUUGGAAGGACUGAAUGAUAAAGUACAAGUGCUGCUUUGAGGCAGCUAACAAGCUGUAGUUUGCUAUAUUGUUUGUGUUCAGCGAUCUCGGGUGCUGCUUUCAAAGUGGUGUGACAUGCAGUAGUGUAUUAGUACAGUACCGCUAUAAAAGCAAGCCAGGAAAAUUUUCUUAACUUAUAAAAUCAGAAACUCAGAAGUCUUUAAAUUGUAUUUCAAAUGGCUAAAAUUCCUACAAUGUCAGUCUGGCAAUGCUCACUACUGCACGCUACUCUAACUGCAGGCUUUUCCUGCAGUUAGAGAUUAAUUGAAGUAAGGUGAAGGUGAGUGACACAAACUGCAUGGAAAAAAACAACUGCACGUUGCACCAGCUAAGCGUAAGUGUGAUCAUAAGGCAGUCUAGCAUUGCUUAAAGUGCAUCAAAACUCUGUUGCAUGGAGUCACGUAUUUCACAUCACCAGUCAAUCAGAAACACAAUCCCACAUAAACAGGAAAUAAUACAUCCAGAUCAAGGCAUGUCAAGACGCAGUGAAGCGGUAAUGUCUGUCUGUUUUCAGUGUAAUAUACUUACAUCAAGUUAGUUAUAUUUUAAGAUAAAUCAGCAAAAACAA